AUUGAACGCUGGCGGCAUGCCUUACACAUGCAAGUCGAACGGUAACAGGUCUUCGGAUGCUGACGAGUGGUGAACGGGUGAGUAAUACAUCGGAACGUGCCUAGUAGUGGGGGAUAACUACUCGAAAGAGUGGCUAAUACCGCAUGAGAUCUACGGAUGAAAGCAGGGGAUCGCAAGACCUUGUGCUACUAGAGCGGCAGAUGGCAGAUUAGGUAGUUGGUGGGAUAAAAGCUUACCAAGCCGACGAUCUGUAGCUGGUCUGAGAGGACGAUCAACCACACUGGGACUGAGACACGGCCCAGACUCCUACGGGAGGCAGCAGUGGGGAAUUUCGGACAAUGGGCGCAAGCCUGAUCCAGCAAUGCCGCGUGCAGGAUGAAGGCCUUCGGGUUGUAAACUGCUUUUGUACGGAACGAAAAGCCCUGGGUUAAUACCCUGGGGUCAUGACGGUACCGUAAGAAUAAGCACCGGCUAACUACGUGCCAGCCGCCGCAGUAAAAC
rnacentral:rRNA from 1 species